rnacentral:rRNA from 1 species
CCCUUAGACGUUCUGGGCCGCACGCGCGCUACACUGACCAGUGCAACAAGCAUCCGUCCUUGGCCGACAGGCCCGGGCAAUCUUUGAACGCUGGUCGUGAUGGGGAUAGACUUUUGCAAUUUUUGGUCUUCAACGAGGAAUUCCUAGUAAACGCAAGUCAUCAACUUGCAUUGAUUACGUCCCUGCCCUUUGUACACACCGCCCGUCGCACCUACCGAUUGAAUGGUCCGGUGAAGCCUCCGGAUUGGCGAGCACCUCGGUGCCGCCGAGAAGUUGGCUAAACCUUACCAUUUAGAGGAAGGUGAAGUCGUAACA